UACGUAGGUGGCAAGCGUUGUCCGGAAUUACUGGGUGUAAAGGGCGUGUAGGCGGGGAUGCAAGUCAGAUGUGAAAUUCUGGAGCUCAACUCCAGCGCUGCAUCUGAAACUGUAUCUCUUGAGUGCUGGAGAGGAAAGCGGAAUUCCUAGUGUAGCGGUGAAAUGCGUAGAUAUUAGGAGGAACACCAGUGGCGAAGGCGGCUUUCUGGACAGUAACUGACGCUGAGGCGCGAAAGCGUGGGGAGCAAACAGGAUUAGAUACCCCUGUAGUCC
rnacentral:rRNA from 1 species